rnacentral:rRNA from 1 species
GAGUUUGAUCCUGGCUCAGAAUCAACGCUGGCGGCGUGCCUAACACAUGCAAGUCGCACGAGAAAAGGUCUUCGGAUCUGAGUAAAGUGGCGCACGGGUGAGUAACACGUGACUAAUCUACCCUCGAGUGGGGAAUAACCUAGGGAAACCUGGGCUAAUACCGCAUAACACUUACGAGUCAAAGCAGCAAUGCGCUUGGGGAGGAGGUCGCGGCAGAUUAGCUAGUUGGUGGGGUAAUGGCCCACCAAGGCGAUGAUCUGUAUCCGGCCUGAGAGGGCGCACGGACACACUGGAACUGAAACACGGUCCAGACUCCUACGGGAGGCAGCAGUGGGGAAUUUUGCGCAAUGGGGGAAACCCUGACGCAGCAACGCCGCGUGGAGGAUGAAGUCUCUUGGGACGUAAACUCCUUUCGACAGGGACGAUAAUGACGGUACCUGUAGAAGAAGCCCCGGCUAACUUCGUGCCAGCAGCCGCGGUAAUACGAGGGGGGCAAGCGUUGUUCGGAAUUAUUGGGCGUAAAGGGCGCGUAGGCGGUUUGGCAAGUUUCGUGUGAAAUCUUCGGGCUCAACUCGAAGUCUGCACGGAAAACUGCCGGGCUUGAGUAUGGGA